ensembl:lncRNA
GUGAGGUCGGAGGUGAGCUGUAGUGACGUCCAGCCAAGCAGCAGGAUGAGUUUGCUCAGUCAGUUGAUGAUGGCGUCUGUGCUGCUCUGGGUGAUCGUCCUCGCUCUCCACGGUUUCCAUCACCAUGCGGCCACUCUGCCGACCUCCACCGUCCAAGUGAGUGUGGGUGAGGAUGCCAUCCUGCAGUGCCCCUUGAUGAACACCUCCAAUGCCUCCACCACCACCACCACCACCACCACCACCACCACAGCUGCCCCGACUGCCCGCUCCACCCUCAGCUGGUACAGGAAGGCAGCAGGACAGGGGCCACAGCUGCUUCUGACCCUCAGGUCCUCUGAUGGCUCUAAUGUGAGGUACGGCGACGGCGUUGGUCCUGAUAAAGUGUCGGCUGCAGCCGACGGCUCACUGCUACUGCGAGGCUCCCAGCAGAGCGACUCAGCGGUUUACUACUGUGGGAUCAGCCAAGGCGACGAGCACAACAAGGAACCAACACCACAGAUCCUCCGGGAGGAAUAAUGCCAGACUCUGGGUCUGCUGCUGGUCUGUUAGUCCACACUGAACUGGUUUCAGUUUAGAGUCUGUUCAGGCUCAUUUAAUUGUAGGUUUAGAUCCACUGAUUUUUAUUUCCAAUUCUAUUUCAGAGUAGGAUAGAAGAGUAACUGUGUAACUGUGACUAUACAAACACCUGUAUAAUAUGACACAGUUCAAUAAAUGUACCUGACGUUUGUUCAUUUAACACAUUUAGUUCAAAGUUUAUUGUGACCUGAGUUGAAUUUAAAUCAUUAAGAUCUACAACUUUCAGCCUUUUCACUGUUAAUUUGUUACUUUAGCAACUUGUUUCUAGCAUUUAUUCACUAAUCUGAGCUAUUUUCAUUCACACAUUUAGGCAUUAUUUUUAG